UACAGAGGUCUCAAGCGUUGUUCGGAUUCAUUGGGCGUAAAGGGUGUGUAGGUGGCGCGCUAAGUCGGGUGUGAAAUUUCGGAGCUUAACUCCGAAACUGCAUUCGAUACUGGCGUGCUUGAGGACUGGAGAGGAGACUGGAAUUCAUGGUGUAGCAGUGAAAUGCGUAGAGAUCAUGAGGAAGGCCAGUGGCGAAGGCGGGUCUCUGGACAGUUCCUGACACUGAGACACGAAGGCCAGGGGAGCAAACGGG
rnacentral:rRNA from 1 species